rnacentral:rRNA from 1 species
UGGGGAAUUUUGGACAAUGGGCGAAAGCCUGAUCCAGCAAUGCCGCGUGUGUGAAGAAGGCCUUCGGGUUGUAAAGCACUUUUGUCCGGAAAGAAAUCCUUGGCUCUAAUACAGUCGGGGGAUGACGGUACCGGAAGAAUAAGCACCGGCUAACUACGUGCCAGCAGCCGCGGUAAUACGUAGGGUGCAAGCGUUAAUCGGAAUUACUGGGCGUAAAGCGUGCGCAGGCGGUUUGCUAAGACCGAUGUGAAAUCCCCGGGCUCAACCUGGGAACUGCAUUGGUGACUGGCAGGCUAGAGUAUGGCAGAGGGGGGUAGAAUUCCACGUGUAGCAGUGAAAUGCGUAGAGAUGUGGAGGAAUACCGAUGGCGAAGGCAGCCCCCUGGGCCAAUACUGACGCUCAUGCACGAAAGCGUGGGGAGCAAACAGGAUUAGAUACCCUGGUAGUCCACGCCCUAAAACGAUGUCAACUAGUUGUUGGGGAUUCAUUUUCCUUAGUAACGUAGCUAACGCGUGAAGUUGACCGCCUGGGGAGUACGGUCGC